GACGAACGCUGGCGGCGUGCCUAAUACAUGCAAGUUGAGCGCUGAAGGUUGGUACUUGUACCGACUGGAUGAGCAGCGAACGGGUGAGUAACGCGUGGGGAAUCUGCCUUUGAGCGGGGGACAACAUUUGGAAACGAAUGCUAAUACCGUAUAAAAACUUUAAACACAAGUUUUAAGUUUGAAAGAUGCAAUUGCAUCACUCAAAGAUGAUCCCGCGUUGUAUUAGCUAGUUGGUGAGGUAAAGGCUCACCAAGGCGAUGAUACAUAGCCGACCUGAGAGGGGGAUCGGCCACAUUGGGACUGAGACACGGCCCAAACUCCUACGGGAGGCAGCAGUAGGGAAUCUUCGGCAAUGGACGAAAGUCUGACCGAGCAACGCCGCGUGAGUGAAGAAGGUUUUCGGAUCGUAAAACUCUGUUGGUAGAGAAGAACGUUGGUGAGAGUGGAAAGCUCAUCAAGUGACGGUAACUACCCAGAAAGGGACGGCUAACUACGUG
rnacentral:rRNA from 1 species